UACGUAGGGGGCAAGCGUUGUCCGGAUUUAUUGGGCGUAAAGAGCGUGUAGGCGGCCUGGUAGGUCAGCUGUGAAAACUCGAGGCUCAACCUCGAGACGCCGGUUGAAACCAUCAGGCUAGAGUCCGGAAGAGGAGAGUGGAAUUCCCGGUGUAGCGGUGAAAUGCGCAGAUAUCGAGAGGAACACCUGCGGCGAAGGCGGGUUGCUGGGCUGACACUGACGCUGACAGCGCGAAAGCUAGGGGAGCGAACGGG
rnacentral:rRNA from 1 species